rnacentral:rRNA from 1 species
GAUGAACGCUGGCGGCGUGCCUAAUACAUGCAAGUCGAGCGAACGGACGAGAAGCUUGCUUCUCUGAUGUUAGCGGCGGACGGGUGAGUAACACGUGGAUAACCUACCUAUAAGACUGGGAUAACUUCGGGAAACCGGAGCUAAUACCGGAUAAUAUUUUGAACCGCAUGGUUCAAAAGUGAAAGACGGUCUUGCUGUCACUUAUAGAUGGAUCCGCGCUGCAUUAGCUAGUUGGUAAGGUAACGGCUUACCAAGGCAACGAUGCAUAGCCGACCUGAGAGGGUGAUCGGCCACACUGGAACUGAGACACGGUCCAGACUCCUACGGGAGGCAGCAGUAGGGAAUCUUCCGCAAUGGGCGAAAGCCUGACGGAGCAACGCCGCGUGAGUGAUGAAGGUCUUCGGAUCGUAAAACUCUGUUAUUAGGGAAGAACAUAUGUGUAAGUAACUGUGCACAUCUUGACGGUACCUAAUCAGAAAGCCACGGCUAACUACGUGCCAGCAGCCGCGGUAAUACGUAGGUGGCAAGCGUUAUCCGGAAUUAUUGGGCGUAAAGCGCGCGUAGGCGGUUUUUUAGUCUGAUGUGAAAGCCCACGGCUCAACCGUGGAGGGUCAUUGGAAACUGGAAAACUUGAGUGCAGAAGAGGAAAGUGGAAUUCCCUGUGUAGCGGUGAAAUGCGCAGAGAUAUGGAGGAACCCCAGUGGCGAAGGCGACUUUCUGGUCUGUAACUGACGCUGAUGUGCGAAAGCGUGGGGAUCAAACAGGAUUAGAUACCCUGGUAGUCCACGCCGUAAACGAUGAGUGCUAAGUGUUAGGGGGGUUCCGCCCCUUAGUGCUGCAGCUAACGCAUUAAGCACUCCGCCUGGGGAGUACGACCGCAAGGUUGAAACUCAAAGGAAUUGACGGGGACCCGCACAAGCGGUGGAGCAUGUGGUUUAAUUCGAAGCAACGCGAAGAACCUUACCAAAUCUUGACAUCCUUUGACAACUCUAGAGAUAGAGCUUUCCCCUUCGGGGGACAAAGUGACAGGUGGUGCAUGGUUGUCGUCAGCUCGUGUCGUGAGAUGUUGGGUUAAGUCCCGCAACGAGCGCAACCCUUAAGCUUAGUUGCCAUCAUUAAGUUGGGCACUCUAAGUUGACUGCCGGUGACAAACCGGAGGAAGGUGGGGAUGACGUCAAAUCAUCAUGCCCCUUAUGAUUUGGGCUACACACGUGCUACAAUGGACAAUACAAAGGGCAGCGAAACCGCGAGGUCAAGCAAAUCCCAUAAAGUUGUUCUCAGUUCGGAUUGUAGUCUGCAACUCGACUACAUGAAGCUGGAAUCGCUAGUAAUCGUAGAUCAGCAUGCUACGGUGAAUACGUUCCCGGGUCU